rnacentral:lncRNA from 1 species
CGCGAUCUCACCAGGACCUGAGCGUACUUUCAAUGCCUGCCCAAAGGGAGCUGGGACUCCGGCGUGACGGAGAGGCUGGAGUGCAUUCCCAGCCCUUCUAGAAAUGGCUGCUUCUCAGGAGCAGACGCAGGUGCAGAGAAGUAGUGAUUCAGCUCGCCCGUCAUUAGCUGCGAGACGUUCUCCCCAGUCUGGGUGCCGACACCAGGAGACAGGAGCCCCGCACAAGUUCUAUAUACAGAUUGUCACAUCGUCAGCGGUGAAGGGGAAGCUCUGCAAUCACUGAGAAGCACGGACUCCAGGUUGGGGAGGAAACGGUUUUUGACCUACAGGCACAUGGACGUGAUCCUUUCGUGUGGCUGAGACAACAUCCAUGUUGAUUGUUUUAUGAGAUUUCAAUUUGUGGCUUCGAUGUGAUGACAAUUUCACUCAUCUGGGGCACAACUGGGGACUGUGUGAGCCACACUGCUCUUGCCAGUGAGUCUGUCCUCAGCGCUGAGAACUGCUUUGCUAAGGAACAGCUGUGAGGUAGACGGCGGAGACUUCUGGCACUCGGGACCCUGUCUUACUUCCCCUCCACGUCCCUUACCCUGGCAGGGUUUUCCUGCUCCAUCCAGGGGCAGAGGAAACGUCAGGCCAGAAGAAUCAUUGCAGAUUUUCAUGUCAGUUUUAAAUAUACAAUCUCGGUGUUUGAUGGAAGAGAGACCACCACCCUGUUAGCAAAUAUCCCCAAGAAGUAUUAAAUUAAGCAAGCCUUUGUUAGCCCUGAUAGAAAAACAUGCUAAGGAUAGAAAAGUCUCUUCUGCCAUUAAAUCUCUUUUGUCCUUGGAGAACUGAAUUUUCAUCAAUUACUGAACUCUUAAUAAGAGGUAACUUGGCUGGCUAAUGUAGACUUUUUCAAACGCAUUAGAGAAACAAUAUAGCUUCACAGUGAAGAACAUUGGCUUUGAAAGCACGGACCUGCUUUAGAUUUCAUUUAUCAGGUGUGUAACCUUGAACAAAUCACUUAAACUCGCUGGCUCUCGUUCUGCUCAUUUGAAAAACGGGACAAUAGCAGUACCUGCCCUAUAAGAUUAUCUUGGAAAUCAUGUAUGUUGUUUGUGCUCCAUGCCCAGAGGAAGGCUUUGUUUAGCCAAUUACUUGUUGGCCUCGGACACCCUUAGGACAGGAUACAGGUGUGUUUCUAUUCAAGCAGAAGCAAGAGCUCUUUCCCUUCCUUUCCCCCCCUUUUUUCUAGAAAAUAAGUCUGAUGGGAA